CUACGGGGGGCUCCAGUGAGGAAUAUUGCACAAUGGGGGGAACCCUGAUACAGCAACGCCGCGUGGAGGAUGACGCAUUUCGGUGUGUAAACUCCUUUUAUAUGUCAAGAAAAUGACGGUAGCAUAUGAAUAAGCACCGGCUAACUCCGUGCCAGCAGCCGCGGUAAUACGGAGGGUGCAAGCGUUACUCGGAAUCACUGGGCGUAAAGGACGCGUAGGCGGGUUGGAAAGUCAGGUGUGAAAUCCUACAGCUUAACUGUAGAACUGCACUUGAAACUUCUAAUCUAGAGUAUGGGAUGGGGAGAUGGAAUUAGUGGUGUAGGGGUAAAAUCCGUAGAUAUCACUAGGAAUACCUAAAGCGAAGGCGAUCUCCUGGAACAUUACUGACGCUAAGGCGUGAAAGCGUGGGGAGCAAACAGGAUUAGAUACCCGCGUAGUC
rnacentral:rRNA from 1 species